rnacentral:lncRNA from 1 species
UAUUAACACCAUUAGUAAACUAAUAUGAUUCUGAACAAAAUAUAUCCCCAUGGUUACGAUGUGAAAAAAGUGUUUUAUUUUUUUCCCGUUCUUUACAGGAAUUGAAUAGAAAGAGUAAGAUGGUAGAAGAGGCUGUUGAAGAAGUUCUAGAGCUUGUGCGAAAGGCAGCUGAAGCACACAGAUCAGCUGAUGGGAAUGAUAUUUUUGAUCUUGUUUUGAAUGGUGUUGAGGAGGCAGGAAGUACAACAGGGGGAGCUGGAGGAGGGAAUGUAACACCAGCCAGUCAACAACAACAACAGGACUGGUCAGCUGUCUGGGAGUUCUUUGAAAACCCUUGCUCACUCUUACUAGGAGGUGGAGUCCUGUCCAAGUCUAUGCAAGAGGCUGUUUGUAAUGCUAUCUCCGAGAUGAGACGAUACUACAGUCGCAAAGUUGUAGAUGUACUCAUCCGAGUCACCAGGUCCUCAUUAGAAUGUCUCCGUAAACGCUUUACCUCUGAGCAAGGUUAGAUUUUUUGCAUCAAGUUUAUCAAUUAAAUUAAAUAUACCAAUAAAAGUGUCAGGUUUGAAGCUUGUCGGAAAGUGUCAAUAUCUUAGAUUG